CGCGUAGGUGGAAUAGUAAGUCAGAGGUGAAAUCUAUAGGCUUAACUUGUAGCUUGCCUUUGAAACUGCUAUUCUUGAGUGCGGAAGAGGGAAGUGGAAUUCCUGGUGUAGCGGUGAAAUGCGUAGAUAUCAGGAAGAACACCGGUAGCGAAGGCGGCUUCCUGGUCCGCAACUGACACUGAGGCGCGAAAGUGUGGGGAGCAAACA
rnacentral:rRNA from 1 species